rnacentral:rRNA from 1 species
AUUGAACGCUGGCGGCAGGCCUAACACAUGCAAGUCGAGCGGAUGAAGGGAGCUUGCUCCUGGAUUCAGCGGCGGACGGGUGAGUAAUGCCUAGGAAUCUGCCUGGUAGUGGGGGAUAACGUCCGGAAACGGGCGCUAAUACCGCAUACGUCCUGAGGGAGAAAGUGGGGGAUCUUCGGACCUCACGCUAUCAGAUGAGCCUAGGUCGGAUUAGCUAGUUGGUGGGGUAAAGGCCUACCAAGGCGACGAUCCGUAACUGGUCUGAGAGGAUGAUCAGUCACACUAGAACUGAGACACGGUCCAGACUCCUACGGGAGGCAGCAGUGGGGAAUAUUGGACAAUGGGCGAAAGCCUGAUCCAGCCAUGCCGCGUGUGUGAAGAAGGUCUUCGGAUUGUAAAGCACUUUAAGUCGGGAGGAAGGGCAGUAAGUUAAUACCUUGCUGUUUUGACGUUACCAACAGAAUAAGCACCGGCUAACUUCGUG